rnacentral:SRP_RNA from 12 species
AGGCAGCAGCGGCCAGCGAGGUCCCCUGGUGCGAGGG